GGACUACUCGGGUAUCUAAUCCUGUUUGAUCCCCGCGCUUUCGGGUCUGAGUGUCAGUGUUGGGCCAGAUAGCCGCCUUCGCCACCGGUGUUCCUCCAGAUAUCUACGUAUUUCACCACUACACCUGGAAUUCCACUAUCCUCUCCCACACUCAAGCUUCGCAGUAUCAAAAGCACUUCCAAGGUUAAGCCUUGGGCUUUCACUCCUGACUUACAAAGCCACCUACACCCGCUUUACGCCCAAUGAUUCCGAACAACGCUUGGACCCCUCGUCUUACCGCGGCUGCUGGCAC
rnacentral:rRNA from 1 species